UACGUAGGGUGCGAGCGUUAAUCGGAAUUACUGGGCGUAAAGCGUGCGCAGGCGGUUCGUUGUGUCGGCGGUGAAAGCCCCGGGCUUAACCUGGGAAUGGCCGUUGAAACUGGCGAACUGGAGUGUGGCAGAGGGGGGUGGAAUCCCGCGUGUAGCAGUGAAAUGCGUAGAGAUGCGGAGGAACACCGAUGGCGAAGGCAGCCCCCUGGGCUGACACUGACGCUCAGGCACGAAAGCGUGGGGAGCAAACAGG
rnacentral:rRNA from 1 species